GACGAACGCUGGCGGCGUGCCUAAUACAUGCAAGUAGAACGCUGACGGAGGAGCUUGCUUCUCUGGACGAGUUGCGAACGGGUGAGUAACGCGUAGGUACCCUGCCUGGUAGCGGGGGAUAACUAUUGGAAACGAUAGCUAUUACCGCAUAAGAGUAGAUGUUGCAUGACAUUCGCUUAAAAGGUGCAAUUGCAUCACUAGCAGAUGGACCUGCGUUGUAUUAGCUAGUUGGGGGGGUAACGGCUCACCAAAGCGACGGUACAUAGCCGGCCCGAGAGGGAGGACCACCACACUGGGAAUGGAGCAAGGCCCAGACUCCCAAGGGAGGCAGGCGGAGGGAAACUUCGGCAAAGGACGGAAGGCUGAACGAGCAACGCCGGGUGAGGGAAGAAGGUUUUCGGAUCGUAAAGCUCUGUUGUAAGGGAAGGACGAGUGUGGGAGUGGAAAGUUCACACUGUGACGGUAUCUGACCAGAAAGGGACGGCUAACUACGUG
rnacentral:rRNA from 1 species